rnacentral:misc_RNA from 1 species
UACGGAGAGUGCAAGCGUUGUUCGGAAUCAUUGGGCGUAAAGGGCGUCUAGGCGGCGCAUCAAGUCAGGUGUGAAAUCCCUCGGCUCAACCGAGGACGUGCACUUGAAACUGAUGUGCUUGAGUACUGGAGGGGGUAGCGGAAUUCCCGGUGUAGAGGUGAAAUUCGUAGAUAUCGGGAGGAACACCAGUGGCGAAGGCGGCUACCUGGCCAGAUACUGACGCUGAAGCGCGAAAGCAUGGGGAGCAAACAGG